rnacentral:rRNA from 1 species
UACGUAGGGGGCAAGCGUUGUCCGGAAUCAUUGGGCGUAAAGCGCGUGUAGGCGGUCCGGUAAGUCGGCUGUGAAAGUCCAGGGCUCAACCCUGGGAUGCCGGUCGAUACUGCCGGACUAGAGUUCGGAAGAGGCGAGUGGAAUUCCCGGUGUAGCGGUGAAAUGCGCAGAUAUCAGGAGGAACACCGGUGGCGAAGGCGGGAUCUCUGGGCCGAUUAUCGAUGACGCUGGAGGAGCGAAAGCGUGGGGAGCGAACAGGAUUAGA